AAAUGAAGGAUAUUUACUCGUUAUAUAUUUUCUUUACCAAAUGAUGUCUUGUCAUAGAGUAAAAUAUUCUCUCAUUUACCCUAAUAAAACAAACUUAAUAAUAUUUACUCGAGAUUUUUUUUUUUAACCAAAUAAAAGACGUACACUAAUUUUGAGGAACAAAGGUGUAAAGCAAAAUUCAUGCAAAUUGACAAAAAAUUCUAUUAUCAACAAACAAUUUUUUUUUAUCGCCAAUUAAAAGCAAACCAAAUCUUUAUUUGAAAAGUUGGUUUUUACCUUUGAAUUGAAAGUUUAAACUUUUGAUAAGUUUUGAGUUUGAAAGGCUAAGUUGUUAAGAAAGUGGUUUAUGGUAUCUUUUGGAGUUUCGAGUGUCGAAAUUGGAAUCUGUCGAUUUCAUCAGCCCCAAAAUAUGAAAUCUAAUUUGUGAGAGUUGUCGGUUCCGUUUUUGAGAUUUUUUGAGGAUUUGAGGUCCUAAGUUGUUAAAUUGAGGAAUGUAAAGUUCGGAUGCUCGGAUGGGGAUUCCAAGAGUUUAGUUGGAUUCGGAGGAUAAUUUUAGGCCUAGGUGAGAUCUUGAUUGAUUUUUGAGAGUUUUCGAGUUUAUUUUAGCCUUUUUAGAACUGAGUUGAUUUCUUGUGAUUUUCACAUAUAUCCGGUCAAGGAAGCCUCAGAUUCAUGUUUUGACAGUUCCAUUAAUUCUUGAAUGUCGAGUAUAAUCAAUUUUCAUAUGUGAUUUUGAGUUAGCUUAUUUUUCUGCGUUCUGGUGCAAUUCUGCGUGUUCGCGGAGGGUAAGUGGUGAGAAUCCCGCAUUUGUGGAGUCUCCUCACGUUCGAAGGAGGUCAAGGUGUUUGAUCUCCGCGUUCGCGAAGUAACCCUUGCAGUGUUAAACCCAAAUUUGAGGGUUUCUUCAUUUUUAUUUUUGGAUCUUCGAGAAUUCGGUAGAGGCGAUUUCAGUCAGGCUUUUCAAGAUAAAAUGAUCGGAUUGUGUGUCUUCAAAAGUGAUUUGAAAGAAGAAGACUCAACUAUUGAAGUGAUUGUUGAUUGAUUUAAGGCAAAUAGAUUCCUAAUCCUUGUGCAUGUUGGAGUAAUAGGAAUGAGGUGAAGGAUUUAAAUCGUCCACUUGAUAUAUGGUAUUAUAACUAUUGGAGUGGUUGUUUGAAUUUCGAAUUUCAUUGUGCUGCUCUAAAAUUGUUAACAUUAUCCAUCAUUGGAAUUCUUUUUAGAAGGUAGAUUGAGGAAGUGUUCUUUUCCCUAUUUUUAUAACAUUUUUCACAUAUGAAGAAAAUGGUAUUGUCAACAA